rnacentral:rRNA from 1 species
UGCAAGUAGAACGCUGAAGAGAGGAGCUUGCUCUUCUUGGAUGAGUUGCGAACGGGUGAGUAACGCGUAGGUAACCUGCCUGGUAGCGGGGGAUAACUAUUGGAAACGAUAGCUAAUACCGCAUAAUAGCAGUUAUUGCAUGAUAGCUGUUUGAAAGGUGCAAAUGCAUCACUACCAGAUGGACCUGCGUUGUAUUAGCUAGUUGGUGAGGUAACGGCUCACCAAGGCGACGAUACAUAGCCGACCUGAGAGGGUGAUCGGCCACACUGGGACUGAGACACGGCCCAGACUCCUACGGGAGGCAGCAGUAGGGAAUCUUCGGCAAUGGACGGAAGUCUGACCGAGCAACGCCGCGUGAGUGAAGAAGGUUUUCGGAUCGUAAAGCUCUGUUGUAAGAGAAGAACGAGUGUGAGAGUGGAAAGUUCACACUGUGACGGUAUCUUACCAGAAAGGGACGGCUAACUACGUGCCAGCAGCCGCGGUAAUACGUAGGUCCCGAGCGUUGUCCGGAUUUAUUGGGCGUAAAGCGAGCGCAGGCGGUUAGAUAAGUCUGAAGUUAAAGGCUGUGGCUUAACCAUAGUACGCUUUGGAAACUGUUUAACUUGAGUGCAAGAGGGGAGAGUGGAAUUCCAUGUGUAGCGGUGAAAUGCGUAGAUAUAUGGAGGAACACCGGUGGCGAAAGCGGCUCUCUGGCUUGUAACUGACGCUGAGGCUCGAAAGCGUGGGGAGCAAACAGGAUUAGAUACCCUGGUAGUCCACGCCGUAAACGAUGAGUGCUAGGUGUUAG